rnacentral:tRNA from 1 species
GGCUUCGUAGCUCAGCUGGUAGAGUGUUUACCGCGUUGAGGCAUACUGGGUCUGUCGUUGGUUCGAAUCCAGCCGAAACCC